AUCAUAGUUUACAAUUGUUAAUUGUUGAUUCAUUCAAAGAUGAUGAUGUAUUGUCACUUACUACAUCCUUAAGUCAACUGAUUUCUGAAACUUUUUUUAAAUACAAACAACAAACAUCUUGUAUGAUUCAUGACACAAUUAAAACGGAAUUAAAAAACUAUUUGUCUUCAUUCACUAUCAGACAAAGUUUUUAUGAAGUAAUGUCUCAUGAGAGAAACCAGUGUUUGUGUCUUAUGUCAAUCACAAGCCAGUAUCACAAACAUUUGAUGAACACAAUUACCCACUAAAUCAUAUUCGGCCACCUGGCACAUAUCUGAACAGUAACAGUCUCACAAGAAUUUCACAUUACGCCACCUAGCGCUCACUGUCCGUAAGUAGUACAAUAUAUUUAAACGUAUGCAUAUCCUGGAAACUAGGGGCCAUGCAAUUAUACCCACCGUUUAUUUCCAAUACAAUCCAUUUCUAAUUAUUAGUCAUUUAUUUAUAGUGCACAGAAAAGUUGACUUUUACAUAAAGGUCGAAUGGAAAACCGUCAUUCCUAGUUUAAACCUGUUUUGUUCAGUUAAACAGAAAUAACACGCUUCAUAAAACAAACUCAGAACAAUAAACUGCUGUUUUCGCUUCAAAUCACAGGGCUUCACGUCACCUCACCACAUGACGUCACACCGGCGACACGUCUGUCGCACAGCUGCACUUCCAUCGUAAACCAUCGUAAACAAGAUACGACUUCGACUUCGCCGCCGUAUUGGAUGCAGCAGCUCUGCCCCCAGUCAGUGGACCCAACUUUACAAAGCUCCUUCUACAAAGUGCUGCAGGUGAUGCUCAGGAGGGAAAUGGCGCUCUCUGCACAUCAACUCUUCAGUCUGGUUUAGCCCUACGCAAUCUGGAAACUGGCAUCACACAACGUUUGUUGGCACUUAUCAAAUAAAGGUGGUGGAUGCCAGGCCAGUGUCUGGCUUUCAUGCCAGGGAGCUGGAGCUGGUCAUAGCUGGAACAGCUGACAUUGACUUAUCACACUGGAGGAACAACACAGAGUACACAGGAGGUAUCAUCAACUGUGUCAACUCUACUUCCUGUCCCAAUAAAGGGGAAUCAAACACUG